rnacentral:pre_miRNA from 1 species
UUACAGGAGUAAUAGUUGAAUACGUGUUUACAGGAGUAAUAUUCAACUAUUACUCCAGUAAACACGUAUUCAACUACGUGUUUACU